CAUAGCAAAAAUGAGAAAGAAGCUGAUAAUCCUGAGACGACAGAGUAUAGGCAUAUAGUGGAAGAUCUGCAAAGACUACUCCAAGAAUCGGACCGGCGUACGUGCAUAGCCUCAGACUUAUUCAAAGCUAUAGGAUGACAAGGAGAAAGAUGAGGGGGCGAAAAUUAAGCCAAAAAAAGAUUUGUGCACUGAACUGCCAAUGAAGCUACUUUCGAAGAAGAAAGAUACAGGUAACUUCACCAUUAAGUGUGAGAUUGGCAGAGAGCUCUUUCCCGAGGUUAUUUGUGAUUUAGGGGCUAGUGUCAAUGUGAUGCCCAUCUCUGUUUUCAAGCAUUUGAGAAUUGGAGAUCUCAAGCGACCUCGAUGGUGAUUCAGAUGGCGGACCGAUCAAGAGUGAAGCCGAGAGGCAAGCUUGAAUAGGGGUGGACCAAAAUAUCGAAAAAUCGGUAUACCGCACUUAUCGUAUCGAAAAUACCGAAUUUUUGGUAUACCAUAAAUUCUGGUACAACAUGGUACUGUACCGAAAAACUUUAGUACGAUAACGGUAUCAAUUUUCCUCAUACCCCGGUAUACCGAUAUAUACCGAUGCCGCGGAGGUUUUUGUUGAUCCAACGCGUGAUGAGAGCUUGAUAUUUGAGCUCCUCGACUUGAAGACGGACGUGGAAGAUCACAGAAGUGCCACGUGGUUUCUUCAAGACUAGGCUAAUGAGCAAGACGCUGAAGGAACAAUGGGGAUAUCUAAAGGGAAACAGGGAAUAGAUGCACAAAACCUAGUUAAGGUAGACUUGCCAUUUCUUCUUCUUAGAGAAUUGUCUCAAGGUAUUUGGUUUGACCUUUAAUGCACUAUAUUUCCAGAUUUAUCUAGCUAAUUUACAUCUUAAGGAUGUUGGCACAGAUGUUCUGAUUACUGCAUACGAGUCUGUAACGAUAAAGUAAGUAGAUCAUUUAUAACUGCCCCAGCGGUGGUAAGUGAAUACAGUUUUUAUCCCUCAACAUAUUGAUUCUAUCUCGGGUGCAAACUGCUUUGUGAUAUCUGCUCUUCUUCCCUAGCUCGUUUAUUCUCACAGCCCUUUGAGUAAAAGUGCUGCCAUAGUCGGGGCCAGCUUAGCCGUGCCUGCUGCACAAUCUGGAUGCACGCCAAUGGAGGAGGUCUUCAGAGGUGCAGUCUCGAGUUCCAAGGUGAACCACUGGAGCAAUUUUGGUGUCGUGGCUUGAAAAAGCCAUCUUGCUUGCUAUUGUGUGGUGAGCAAUGUUCACUCUCAUCCUGAGUUUAGUUUUUUGUAAUAAUCACAAUAUGAAUAGGCUUUUUAAUUGGUAUAUAGUGGCUUUAAGUUAUAGGAUAUGACAUUGAGGUAUUGUUAUAUCAUCAUUUCUCCUGUUUGUCUUUUAUCUACAA